AGGUUGGAGGAGGCAGCUACUGUAAAUAGCGUAUAAUCAGGCAGCUUUCUCCCUCCAUGGAGGGACUUUGGAGCUGAGAUCUCAGUAAAGGGAAGGAGACAGUUACACAAAGGUUUGGAAAAAGGGCAGUCAAGGUGGUGGGGGCCGGGAGAGCGGGUGCAAAGGCCUGGGGGUGAGAUGGAGCUUACUUCUAACAUUUUACACCAUCAAGAGGCCACUGUGGCUGAAACGCACUGAGCAACCAGCUAAGUGGAGAGCGGCGAGGUCGACGGGCGUGAGACCAUUCUGGUGGACCCGGAGUUUUCAUCUUAGUGGGAUGCAAUGGGGGUUAAAGAAGGGUUUUAAAUGAGAGAGGGCGCGAUCUGGUUUGUGCUUUAAAAAGAUUGCUCAGGCAAAGUGGCAGCCUGGAGGCUUUCCGUGUUCCACAGGCAACACGCUUAGAGGAGCACUUUCAGGUACGUCCAGGUACACGGUCACGCGUGACGCACAGCGACCCAAUCAGGCACUCGGCGACCCCUUCUAUGUCCUCGGCUGCUCGGGGACCGACACCCCGACCUUCCCUUCCGGCCGGGGGCCCCACCUGGAAAAAAGAGGACUCUUCCACCCCAAUAAUCCCCUGAUUCCGGAUGUACCUGCGUCCCCUCACUCACCUGGGCCGGGACCCGCGGAGCUGGCGAGAGGCUGGGGCCGGGACGAAGCCUAAAGCUCUGCGGCUCCGGGCCCCUCCCUCCCCGCCCCAGCGGGCCCAACCUUCUCCGGCCGCGCCCGGCGGGAACCGAGCCCAUUCACCUGGCCCCGCCCCGAGGACCCCGCCUCCAACGGUAGCCUUCCAGGCUCUGGCCCCGCCCCCGCGCCCCGUCCCACCCCUUCACAGGCGUUCUUGGCGCUAACCACGCCCCCUUCGGAGAGAACCUCCCUCCCAUAAACCACGCCCCCUCGGGAACGCAGUCCACCGCUUCCAGGAGGCCCCGCCGCCUGGGGCGUCGCUCCGCCCCCAGGAGCUGGCCACGCCCACACGCUCUUUUUCCCUCUCUCAGUCCCGCCCUUUAGAGCUCCGCUCCUCUCUUCCCCGCAAGGCUGGUCCCAAGUAUCCCUGACCCCUAGGGACGUGAUGCAGAAACUGAGGCUCGAGGCAGCCAAGCCAUUUGCCCAGGUUGACCCGGCUUGUGAGUGGCGGAGGUGGGAUUCAUACCCCGAGCCCUGGAGCGCCAUCCUGUCCUCCUCGCUUUCAUCCGUGCAGCCCAGCCCCACCAUCUCUGAUCCCUACCAUAAUUCUCGACGGUGAAGGUUACCAUCACCCAUUUUACAGAUGAGGAAAUUGAGUCGUAGAGCGCCAAGGACGCUUGGGGAUGAAAAGUUUCGGUGCCUGCGGGAUCGCAAAGCUGGUGAUUUCCAGGCUUGGCUUCCCCCUCAGCGAAAUGUGGAAGAGACUCGAGGCUGCGGAGGAGGAGCUGAGGGGAGUGUUUUUUUCCUUGACCCCCUCCCGCCUAGUUUCGGUGCAGAGAGUAGAGCGGGGCGGGGGGUGGUUGUCCAGUGUGGGAGUCUAGCGCCCCCUAGUGGUUGGAAGAAUUAAAAAAAGAAAAUCUGA